UACGUAGGGGGCAAGCGUUGUCCGGAUUUAUUGGGCGUAAAGAGCGUGUAGGCGGUUUGGUAGGUCCGUUGUGAAAACUCGAGGCUCAACCUCGAGACGCCGAUGGAAACCAUCUAACUAGAGUCCGGAAGAGGAGAAUGGAAUUCCUGGUGUAGCGGUGAAAUGCGCAGAUAUCAGGAAGAACACCCGUGGCGAAGGCGGUUCUCUAGUACGGUACUGACGCUGAGACGCGAAAGCGUGGGGAGCGAACAGG
rnacentral:rRNA from 1 species